rnacentral:rRNA from 1 species
GACGAACGUUGGCGGCGUGCUUAAUACAUGCAAGUCAACUGAAGCAGUGGUAGCAAUAUCGCUGUGGAGGUGGCGCACGGGUGAGUAACACGUAGGUAAUCUGCCUUCAGGUCUGGCAUAACUCCGGGAAACCGGGGCUAAUAGCAGAUGAUGCAGCGGCUCGACAUCGAGACAGUUGUUAAAGCUAUGGCGCCUGAAGAUGAGCCUGCGUCUGAUUAGCUAGUUGGCGGGGUAACGGCCCACCAAGGCAACGAUCAGUAGCUGGUCUGAGAGGAUGAUCAGCCACACUGGAACUGAGACACGGUCCAGACUCCUACGGGAGGCAGCAGUAAGGAAUAUUGCUCAAUGGGAGAAAUCCUGAAGCAGCAACGCCGCGUGAGGGACGAAGGGCUUUUGCUUGUAAACCUCUGUAGUGAGAGAAAAAAUUCCCAAUCUUUGGGACAUGAUGGUAUCUCAAAAGUAAGCCCCGGCUAACUACGU